AACCCAGGGGGAGAGGUUUAUGAAGGCAUGGUGAGAGCAUAUUAUCAGUUCCUAUUUUGGUGUUUCAAAUUUUCUCCUGGUGUUUAACUUCCUGAAAGGAUGAAAACGUGUUCCAGGAACAGGAAACAGUAAACAGGCAUAUUGAACAAGCUAGAGAGAGCGGGAGUCAACUUGGAAGAAGGAGUGGAAGAUACUCAUCAGAGAAGCAUCAAGAGAUGCCUGCCACAGGCAGAGGGCUCCAAACAAGACAAGAGAGAGUCUUUGGAAGUGGAAAACUGGGCAACAUCAUUCCUGGAAAGACAAUGAGAAGGAAUUAAUACAGUUAUUAUUAGAGAAGAGCUUGGUGUUGGAUCCCUCCUGGAAAAUCAGACAGGUCAUAAUAUAAAAUAUCA
ensembl:lncRNA